GGCAAGGAACGAAUGUGGCUAGCGCGUUUGCUGGUAAUCAGUGAAGACACUCCAGACUCCGGAGCGACAAUCCUGAAUCCCCUAUCCGCAAUGCCUGGAGGGGAUAUCAGCCACAGAAAACAAGAAGAAAUCCAUUCUUUUUUCAGUGAGAAAAUUAGAGUGGCACCUGAUGAUGUCGACUUUGACACGUGUUAAUUGCUCCACAGUUCUCCUAAUUAGGGAUUUUCACAUUCUUUCAGUGCUGCGGGGCAGAUAGCGGUGUUUGCCUGGCAAAGGAGAAUUGCUGCUUACUUCAGUGUUUUCUGCGUUACAGACGCACCGACGUUAAUCUGUUCAUACUAGAUGCGGGACUCUCUCAUCAUCAGUGGAUGAUCAUUAACCCACGGAUGGCCAAACUCAAUAUGCUUUUUAAUUAGGCUAUGUAUAAAAUGUUGGGAAAAAAAACUGUUUAACACCUUGUAUGGCAGUAUUUUCUGUAUACUUCUAUACCAUACAUAGGUCACAGAUACCAUAGAAGCGAGAAAGAAACACCAUGAUGUCAUAGAGAAAUAUGCACAGCGAAUGCUGGCGUCCAGUCCUGGAAGCAGGCUGGGUUUCCAAACAGCAGGCAUUUGUGAAAGGGCCUGAAAUCAUUAUCAGUGUCAUCUCAACCGACGGCCUCUCCGUCGGAGUCAGAAGGGGAUGUGGAGGACUUCAUUCUGUCCAAGGAACAGCCCGGCCAGAGCCUUCAGGCUCAGGGAGGAAGGGCGGACAUUUUUAUUUGCGGAUCUUUAAAAAGCUGCUCGUCACAAUAUGUUUUUAAUGGAAAUAAUAAAAGUGUCACGACACAACAACGUCAACUUAGCAGCCAGAAUAGCAGUAUUGAUCUUUGUGUUGAUGAAACAAAAUGCUUUGCCAUUUUAGUUCAUGAUCUACCAAAUGAUGAAAUUUUCACAGUCAAUGUCACAUUCUUAGUUCCAUGGCAGGUCUAGAAAAUGGGGUGAUAAAAUAUCAUAUUUAUUUCAAGCGAUUGACUGAAAAAUCACAGAUUCACAUUGUCUUAAAAGUAUUAAAUGAAAACAAUAAACACC
ensembl:lncRNA